rnacentral:rRNA from 1 species
CCUACGGGCUGCUGCAGUGAGGAAUAUUGGUCAAUGUGCGCGAGCCUGAACUAGCCAAGUCGCGUGAGGGAAGACGGUCCUAUGGAUUGUAAACCUCUUUUGUCGGGGAGCAAAAGACGCCACGCGUGGCGUUCCGCGAGUACCCGCAGAAAAAGCAUCGGCUAACUCCGUACCAGCAGCCGCGGUAAUACGGAGGGUGCGAGCGUUAUCCGGAUUUAUUGGGUUUAAAGGGUGCGCAGGCGGAAGAUCAAGUCAGCGGUAAAAUUGAGAGGCUCAACCUCUUCGAGCCGUUGAAACUGGUUUUCUUGAGUGAGUGAGAAGUAUGCGGAAUGCGUGGUGUAGCGGUGAAAUGCAUAGAUAUCACGCAGAACUCCGAUUGCGAAGGCAGCAUAGCGGCGCUCAACUGACGCUCAUGCACGAAAGUGUGGGUAUCGAACAGGAUUAGAUACCCCUGUAGUC